rnacentral:rRNA from 1 species
UAAAGGUAUUCCGGUAGACGAUGGGGAUGCGUUCCAUUAGAUAGUAGGCGGGGUAACGGCCCACCUAGUCUUCGAUGGAUAGGGGUUCUGAGAGGAAGGUCCCCCACAUUGGAACUGAGACACGGUCCAAACUCCUACGGGAGGCAGCAGUGAGGAAUAUUGGUCAAUGGGCGCAGGCCUGAACCAGCCAAGUAGCGUGAAGGAUGACUGCCCUAUGGGUUGUAAACUUCUUUUAUAAAGGAAUAAAGUCGGGUAUGUAUACCCGUUUGCAUGUACUUUAUGAAUAAGGAUCGGCUAACUCCGUGCCAGCAGCCGCGGUAAUACGGAGGAUCCGAGCGUUAUCCGGAUUUAUUGGGUUUAAAGGGAGCGUAGAUGGAUGUUUAAGUCAGUUGUGAAAGUUUGCGGCUCAACCGUAAAAUUGCAGUUGAUACUGGAUAUCUUGAGUGCAGUUGAGGCAGGCGGAAUUCGUGGUGUAGCGGUGAAAUGCUUAGAUAUCACGAAGAACUCCGAUUGCGAAGGCAGCCUGCUAAGCUGCAACUGACAUUGAGGCUCGAAAGUGUGGGUAUCAAACAGGAUUAGAUACCCUGGUAGUCCACACG